AUACGUAGGUGGCAAGCGUUGUCCGGAUUUAUUGGGCGUAAAGAGAAUGUAGGCGGUUUAUUAAGUUUGAAGUGAAAGCCCUCGGCUCAACCGAGGAAGUGCUUCGAAAACUGGUAAACUUGAGUGCAGAAGAGGAAAGUGGAACUCCAUGUGUAGCGGUGGAAUGCGUAGAUAUAUGGAAGAACACCAGUGGCGAAGGCGGCUUUCUGGUCUGUAACUGAUGCUGAGAUUCGAAAGCAUGGGUAGCAAACAGGAUUAGAUACCCUGGUAGUCCAUGCCGUAAACGAUGAGUGCUAAGUGUUGGAGGGUUUCCGCCCUUCAGUGCUGCAGCUAACGCAUUAAGCACUCCGCCUGGGGAGUACGAUCGCAAGAUUGAA
rnacentral:rRNA from 1 species